UUAGUUUUUUACUACAAGAUUUCAUGAAGUAAGAAAAAAGAACAUUAGCUUUCUUACCUGGCAGUAUAAUUACUCUUCUCUCCAUUUUCUCCCCUUUGCUCCUCUCCUUCAUGCUUCAAAACCUAAAAGAAGUGAAAAAUACAAAGGAUCUCACUUAGCUCUUCUCCACCAUGUGAUGUUGUUGUUUCGGGGAAAGCUGAUGAAUCACGGCCUUGGGUCGGUUUCUGCCUUCGGAUCGGGUGAUUUGGAUGAUCAGCAGGUGGAAGAGGCUGCCGCAGAGGCGGAAGUUGCACCACCGGAGACCGGUUAAAGUUGGGAUCUGAUGAAAGAGGUGGUGGUGAAAUCGAAGAGAAAGGUAGCUGAGCUUGCCUUUUCCUGAUCCUCAUAACCGAUGCAAUAUAUAGUUUUUCUUAAAAAGAAAAAUCGAAGAAAGCCAAACAGAAAAUCAAGAAAAACCAGAGAAUGAAAUGGUUCCUUUUUUUCUAUGAGAAGAAAAGAGGGAAGGAAAACAAAGAAAGUGCAAAACCCAAAUACUACAACAACUACUAUAACAUCAUCAAAACCAAGAAAUUUAUUUGUAUAUUUUUUAUAAAAAACAAAUUAAUAAUAAUAAAUCUAAUAUAA